rnacentral:rRNA from 1 species
GGACUACAAGGGUUUCUAAUCCUGUUUGCUCCCCUAGCUUUCGCACCUGAGCGUCAGAUGCCCUCCAGGAAACUGCCUUCGCCUUUGGUGUUCUUCCGAAUCUCUACGCAUUUCACCGCUCCACUCGGAGUUCCGUUUCCCUCUCUGGCCCUCAAGUCCUGCCGUUUUUGAAGCACUCUCCCAGGUAAGCCGGGAGCUGUCACCCCAAACGCGCGGGACCGCCUGCGUGCCCUUUACGCCCAGUAACUCCGGACAACGCUCGCCCCCUACGUAUUACCGCGGCGGCUGGCAC